rnacentral:snRNA from 1 species
GGGUGAGUGAUCUGGCUGCAGCAUCUUUCCUUUUGUUGAUCGCUGGAGUUGACUUGGCUGAUCUGGCUGGCGAGGCUGGUGUUGCCUUCCUCUCCUGAAGUUGUGGGCUGGCUUGAAGAGGACCAGUUUCCCUGAAUAGAGGCGGCUCAGCCUUCAGUCAAGUGUAUACGAGUAGCUGCAGUCUGCUGCUAGAACCUCCAAUCAAGCUCUUACAUUCAUUAUCUUGGGGAUUAGGAUUUCAGUAUAAAAUUUAGAGGGGAAGCAAACAUUUAACCCGUUAUAAUUAACAUCUUAUUAUAGGCUGAGCAGUGGUGGUGCACGCCUUUAAUC